rnacentral:rRNA from 1 species
CGCUUGAUGACGGGUGGCGCACGGGUGCGUAACGCGUAUGCAACCUACCCUUUACUGGGGGAUAGCCCGGAGAAAUUCGGAUUAAUACCCCAUGGUAUUAUCAGAUGGCAUCUGAAGAUAAUUAAAGAUUUAUUGGUAAAGGAUGGGCAUGCGUGACAUUAGUUAGUUGGUAAGGUAAUGGCUUACCAAAACGAUGAUGUCUAGGGGUUCUGAGAGGAAGGUCCCCCACACUGGUACUGAGACACGGACCAGACUCCUACGGGAGGCAGCAGUAGGGAAUAUUGGGCAAUGGAGGCAACUCUGACCCAGCCAUGCCGCGUGCAGGAAGACAGCUUUCUGAGUUGUAAACUGCUUUUAUAUAGGAACAAAGAGGCCAUGCGUGGCAAGUUGCGUGUACUAUAUGAAUAAGCACCGGCUAACUCCGUGCCAGCAGCCGCGGUAAUACGGAGGGUGCAAGCGUUGUCCGGAUUUAUUGGGUUUAAAGGGUGCGUAGGUGGCUAAUUAAGUCAGUGGUGAAAGCCUGCAGCUCAACUGUAGAGGUGCCAUUGAUACUGGUUAGCUUGAGUAUGGACGAGGUAGGCGGAAUUUGUGGUGUAGCGGUGAAAUGCAUAGAUACCACAAAGAACACCGAUAGCGAAGGCAGCUUACUGGACCAUAACUGACACUGAGGCACGAAAGCGUGGGGAGCGAACAGGAUUAGAUACCCUGGUAGUCCACGCCGUAAACGAUGCUCACUCGAUGUAUGCGAUAUACUGUAUGCGUCCAAGCGAAAGCGUUAAGUGAGCCACCUGGGGAGUACGCUCGCAAGAGUGAAACU